UGCAAAUUAUUGCAGUGAGGAGACUUACAAAUCCUUGUUCUAGUGGGUUGAUGAUGAUGUAUAAAUAUUAAGGGGAAAGUAAUGCAGGGCAAAGGAAUGCAAGGGAGGACUCUAAAAUAGGGUGGCUGUGAAAGGCUUCUUUGAGAAGGUGGCAUUUGAGCAAAGACUUGGAUGAAUUAAGAUAGUAAACCAUGUGAAAAUUUGGGAGAAGUGAGUCUGAGGAGGACAGAAUAGCAUUGCAAAGGUCCUUAAGCUGGUAUGAGCUUGGUGGGUUCUGGAAAGAGCAAGAAGGCCAAUGUGAAAUGAGCAAAGGAGACAAUGGUAGCAGAUGAGGCUACAAAGAGGUAGGCAGGGCCAGAUCACAUGUGGACUUACAGACCCUAGUGAAAGAUUCGCACUUUUUUCUAAAUGUGAUGGGAUGCACUUAACAGGGUAUUAAAUCUUUUUUAAUUUACUCAUUUGAUGCAGAGAGAUACAGAGAGAGAGCAUGAGCAGGGAGAGAGGGAGAGGGAGAAGCGGACUCCCUGCUGAUCCGGGAGUCCGAUGUGGGGUUCAAUCCCAGAACCCUGGGAUCAUGACCUACCUGAGCCAAAGGCAGACACUUAACCAUCUAGCCACCCAGGCGCCCCACUUAACAGGGUAUUGAGCAAGAGAGUGAUGGGAUCUGAUUUACAUGGUUGAAAAAUAGACUAUUUUUUCAGCUUGUUGCUGAAUUAAAUUUUGCAGUGUUCAUUUCUGGAAGAGUAAAUAUUGCAAAAGGGUAUUCCAUUUUGAAAAAUAGAAAACUGAGUUAUGUUCACUUUUAUCACCUACCUGACCUUCUCAUUGCUGCAAUGAGGUAUGAAUAUCUACCCAAGCGCAAAAUACUCUUAAUACAAGUUGCUGGAAACAGACUUCGUUGUUUAAUGGGGAGAAUGCUGGUGGCUGAAUAGAGGAUGAAGGAGAGGCAUAAGACUCUGGAUACAGUGGACCAUGUUAGGAGCCUUUGUGGCAACUGUCUGGGUAACAUGGGAAUGUAGAGAGUCCUAAAUCCAAUUUCUGAGGCAGAAAUUAACCAGGCUAAUUGGACAUGGGGAGUAAGAGAGAAAGAUUCAAGGGUGUCUGCAUUUUCUCACUUGGUCAUUUGAGUGGGUGAUAAACUUAAACAAGAAAUAUAAAAGAAACAGGCUUAUUUGAAAGCAUCAGGGUGCUUAUAGAAUAGAGAGCAUAAUGUAUAUCCAGUCUAGCCUGACAAAGUAUUUCUUCUCUUGCCAUUAAAAAUACCAUUUAUGAAGAAGAUAUUAUGUGAUUUGAGAGGCAAUAUACUAUAAUAUUUAACAGCAAGGAUUCUAGAAACAGACUGCCUGGGUUCAAAUCCUGGAUCCAUCUCUUAGUAGCUAUGUGACCUUGGACAACUUACUUCAGCCUAACUAGUUUCUCUCUGCAAAAUGAGGGUAAAUCAUAGUAUUUAUUUCAUAGGGGUUUUGUGAGGAUUAAAUUAAUAUAUGUAAAGCCCUUAGAAUACUGCCUGACAAGAGCCAUUUGCCAUUGUUACUCUUGUUUGAGAAAUUGGAUAUUUUAUUUAAAUAAAACAAUACCAGCUUUGUAUGCAGCUAUUAUGUUGCUCUACUUUUGCUCUUUUCCUAGAGCACUUAUCUUCUAACAUACUAGACACUUUACGUAUUUCUGAUGUUUAUAGUAUAUUAUUUGUCUACCUUUCACUAGAACAGUGGUUUUCAAAGUGUGAUCCCUGAAACACUAGGAACUGGAACUCUAGAAACGCAAAUUAUUGGGUCCCAUCCAAGGUUUACUGAAUUAUUAACUGUUUUAACAUCCAUCCAGGGGAUUUCUGAUUCAUGUCAAGUUUGAAAGCAACUGAGCAAAAACCAAGCUCUAUGUUUUCUCCACAUCCUUGUUAGCACUUGUUAUUUCUUGUCUUUUGAUAAUAGCCAUCCUCUAACAGGUGUGAGGUGGUAUCUCAUUGUGAUUUGAUUUGCAUUUCUCUGAUGAUUGUGAUGUUGAGUACCUUUUUUUGUACUGUUGGCCAUCUGUAUGACUUCUUUGGAAAAAAUGUUUAUACAGAUCUUCCACCCAUUUUUUAGUCAGAUUGUUUGGGGUUUUUUUCUCUUGAGUUGUAUGAAUUAUUUAUAUAUUUUGGAUGUUAAUCCAUUAUCAGAUAUAUGAUUUGCAAAUCUUUUCUCCCAUUUGGUAAAUUGCCUUUUUAUUUUGUUGUUGGUUUCCUCUGCUGUGCAGAAGCUUUUUAGUUUGAUGUAGUCCCACUUGUUUAUUUUUGCUUUUGUUACCUUUUGGUUGUCAAAUCUAAAAAAAAUCAUCACCAAGACUGAUGUCGAGGAACUCUUGUGUUUUCUUCUAGGAGUUUUAUGGUUUCAGGUCUUACAGUCAAGUCUUAGGUCCAUUUUGAGUUAAUUUUUGUAUAUGGUGUAAGAUAGUGAUCCGUUUCUAAUCUUUUGCAUUUUUCUGUAAAGUUUUGUCAAAACCGUUUAUUGAAGAGAUUGUAUUUUCCUGUGAGGUAACAAAUAUAUAUAGAUAUAUUGGUCUCUGUCCCUGGUUCCUGCACAGAGGUCCUAAGAUCCUUGUAAUUUCCUAAAUGAUAAGAACACUAGGAGCAUCUUUUGUUCUAAUGAGAUGACUCUGGAUGGCCUCCUAGAUGGGGACUGGUCACCAGAACAACCCGUGAUGAGAAGCUUGGAUUUUCAGCCCUACCCCUUGUCCUCCAGGGAGGGAAGAGGAGGUGAAAAUGGAGCUACUAAUUGAUCAUGCCUUUGAGAGGAAGCCUUCAUAAAAUCCCAGUAGUAUAUGGGGUUCAGGGAGCUUCCAGGUGGAUGAACAUAUCCAUACCCGGAGGGUGAUGCACCCCAACUCCACAGGAACAGAAGCUCCUGCACUCAGGACCCUCCCAGACCUCACCCUGUGUAUCUCUUUAUCUGGUUGUUCAUCUGUAUUCUUUAUCAUAACCCUUAAUAAAUUGGUAAAUGUUAAGUAAGCAUUUCCCUGAAUUCUGUGAGCAUAUCUUACAAGUUAAUUGAACCUGAGGAAAGGGUCCUAAGAACUGUCAAUUUGUAGCCAAAUUGGACAGACAUUGUGGGUAACCUGGGGACCUACUACUUGUGACUGACAUUUAAAGUGUGUGUUUGGGGUGGGGGGCAGUCUUGUGACUGAGCCUUUAACCUGUGGAAUCUGAUGCUGUCUUCAUGUAGAUAGUGUCUGAAUUGAGUUGAACUAUGGACACCCAGUUGGUGUUGCAGAGAAUUGUUUGGUGUGGAGAAAAACUUUCAUACAUUUGGUGACCAGAAGUGACGUGUUCUGUAUGAGUAGUAAAGGAGAAACACAAGAAACACACACACACAGGAGGAAGGACUGGAUUUUUCUCUAUAGAGGAGAGAAAGACACAGGAGGGGGAAAGACUGAGUUUUCCUAAUAUAGUUGCCCAUUGUAUAUUCUUGACUCCUUUACUGUAAGUUAAUUGACCGUGUGUGUAUGUUUAUUUCUGGGCUCUGUAUUCUGUUCCAUUGAUUUUUGCAUCUGUUUUUAUGCCAGUACCAUACUGUUCUGAUUACUGUGGCUUUGUAAUAUCAGGAAGCAUGAUACUUCCAGCUUUGUUCCAAUUGGGGUCUUUUGUGGUUCCAUACAAAUUUUUGGAUUGAUUGUUCUAUUUCUGUGAGAAAUGCUGUUGGGAUUUUGAUAGGUAUUGCAGUCUGUAGAUCGUUUUGGGUAGUAUGGACCUUUUAACAGUACUAAUUUUUCCGAUCCAUUAGCAUGGAAUAUCUUGACGCUGAUUUGUGUCUUCAGUUUCUUUCAUCAGUGUCUUGUCGUUUUCAGAGUACAUGUCUUUAAGUUCCUUGGUUAAAUUUAGUGUUUUAUUCUUUUUCUUUUUAAGAUUUUAUUUAUUUAUUUAUUUGAGAGAGAGAGUGAGCGAGAGAGAGAACAAAACAGGGGGAGAGGGAGAGGGAGAGGCAGACUCCCCACUAAGCAGGGAGCCCGAUGUGAUGCGGGGCUGAUCCCAGGCCUCCAGGAUCAUGACCUGAGCCAAAGCCAGACCCUUAAUCAGCUGAGCCACCCAAGCUCCCUAGUGUUUUAUUCUUUUUGUUGCAGUUGUAAAUGGCAUUGUUUUCUUAAUUUCUCCUUCUGAUAGUUUAUUGUUAGUGUAUAGAAAUCCAAUCAAUGGGGGCGCCUGGGUGACUCAGUCAUUAAAUGUCUGCCUUCGGCUCAGGUCAUGAUCUCAGGGUCCUGGGAUUGAGCCCUGCAUCAUGCUCCCUGCUCAGUGGAAAGCCUGCUUCUCCCUCUCCUACUCCCCCUGCUUGUGUUCCCUCUCUCGCUGUGUCUCUCUCUGUCAAAUAAAUAAAUCAUUAAAAAAAAAAAUGCAAUCAAUGUAUGUAUAUUGAUCUGCAGCUUUACUGAAUUUGUUUAUUAAGUCUAACAGUUUUUUUGGUGGCAUCUUUAAGGUUUUCUAUGUAUGAUAUGCCAUCUACAAAUAGUGAUGGAAUUUACUUCUUCCUUUCCAAUUUGGAUGCCUUUCAUUUCUUUUUCUUGCUAAUUGCUCUGGCUAGGACUUCAAUACUAUGUUGAAUAAAAAUGGUGAGAGUGGGCAUCCUUGUCUUGUUCUGGAUCAUAGAGGGAAACCUUUGAACUUUAUACUCACCAGUUAGCUGUGGGAUUGUCAGAUAUGGCCUUUAUUUUGUUGAUGUGUGUUCCUUCUGUAUCCAGUUUGUUGAGAUUUUGUAUAAGUGGAUGUUGAAUUUUGUCAAAUUCAAAAAGCAAAUAGAUGUUUUUUCUCCAUCUGUUGAGCUGAUCAUAUGAUUUUUAUCCUUCAUUUUGUUAAUGUGGUAUAUCGUGUUGAUUUGUGUAUACUGAACCAUCCAUGCAUCCCUGGAGUAAAUCCCACUUGAUCAUGAUGUAUGAUCCUUUAAUGUAUUAUUGAAUUUGGUUUGAUAAUAAUUUUGUUGAGGAUUUUUGCAUCUGUGUUCAUCAGGGAUAUUGGCCUUUAGUUUUUUUGGUGUCCUUGUCUUGUUUUGGUAUUGCCAUAAUGCUGACCUCAUAAAAGUUUGGAAGUGUUCCCUUAUCUAUCACAAGCUCUAUCUUUUGUCUGUCUUGUUUAUGAUGUAUCCUAAGCACCUGGAAUAAUAGUGCCUCAUAUAGACUAGGUGUUCCAUAAAUAUUUGUUGAAUGCUUGUAUAAAUACCCUGAAUUAUUAGGGAGAAACUAUUAAUAAUAUAUGACUGGGUGUUGAAACUGAGUGUAAUUUUAUUUUUAUUCUACCAUGUUUUCCACAUUUUUAUCACUUUUUAAAUUUUUAAAAAAGAUUUAUUUGUUUAUUUUAGAGAGAGUUUGCGUGCAGGGGGAAGGAUAGAGAGAAUCUUGAGCAGACCCCACGCUGAACGCAGAGCCCAGGGCAUGGCUCAGUCCCAGAACCCUGAGGAUCACGACCUGAGCUGAAACUAAGAGUCAGUUGCCUAACCGACUGCACCACCGAGGCACCCCUUCAUCACUUUUAAAAUGGGUAUCUACACCUAUUAAAACAAAGGGUAGGAUAACAGACAGAAUGUGUCCCUUUUUUAGGAAGUUUGUAUGGCAGUAACAAUCUGUUAGCAUAUGUGAUUAUUAAUCCAUUUAAUAUUAUAAUAAGCACAGCCGUAAUUUCUAGGUUUUUUUUUUUUCAUAAUUUCUAGUUUUAAUUUUGCAGCAUCUGAAGAGGUCUCUCCAGAUACCUCAGAAUGCUGUAAAUUAUUAUCCAGAUAAUACAAUAAAUGCCUAUCAUCAUGUUCAAGUUUUGGGUUUUAUAGCAACUGUGAAGGAAGCUCCAAAUGUGUUAAUGAGUGUUGUAAAAUUAUUGAAAGCUUUCCAUUUUAAUUCACUCAAAUUUUAGUAUGUGUCUACGGGACCCCAUUAUUUUGGGAACCAGCAAAAAUAAUCACCAUGGGUAAUCAUAUGCAGCUGGUUGGUAAACACCAAUUACUCAUUGACUGAAGAAUUAAUUUUUCUAACACUCUUCAUAUUCUUCGGUGAAUUUUGUUUUUGCUCGUAGUUCUUUCCCAUCUAAGGAUUUACUUUAAAAAAUAAAGAUAGUUACUAUUUAUGAAACUUUUAAUAUGCCUGGCAUUUACUAAGUGCUUAUUAUGUGUGUUAUCUUUUAACCCUUUCAGACAACCCUGCAAGGUCAGUACUGUUAUAUUUCUUACAGAUAAGGAAACAGGGGUCUAAUACAGGCAUAUCUUGUUUUAUUGCACUUCACUUCAUUGUGCCUCUCAAAUAUUGCAUUUUUUACAAAUUGAAGCUUUGUAUCAACCCUGUGUUGAGCAAAUUUAUUAGCACCAUUAUUCCAACAGCCCUUGGUCACUUCAUGUCUCUCACAUUCUCAUGAUACUUCAAACAAAUUAGACCAAUUAAUAACCCUACAUUGGCCUCUUAGUGUUCAAAUGAAAGGAAGAGUUGCACAUAUCUCACUUUAAAUCAAAAGCUCAAAAUGAUCAAGCUUAGUGAGGAAGCCAUAUUGAAAGCUGAGAUAGGCCAAAAACUUAGGCCUCUUGACCAGAGAGUUAACCAAGUUGGGAAUGCAGGGAAGGGCUUUGAAGGAAAUUAAAAGUGCUGCUCCUGUGAACACACAAAUGAUAAGCAAGCAAAACAGCUUUAUUGCUGAUAUGGAGAAAGUUUUAGUGAUCUGAAUAGAUCAGACUAGCCACAACCUUAUCUUAAGCCAAAGCCUAAUCCAGAGCAAGGCCCUAACUCUUCAGUUCUGUGAAGGCUGAGACAGGUGAAGAAGCUGCAGAAGAAAAGUCUGAAACUAGCAGGGUUGGUUCAUGUGGUUUAAGGAAAGAAGCCAUCUCCAUAACAUCAAAGUGCAUGGUGAAGUCCGCUAGUGCUGAUGUAAAAGCUACAGCAAGUUAUCCAGAAGAUCUAGCUAAGAUAAUUAGUGAAGGUGGCUGCACUAAACAACAGAUUUUCAGUGUAGACAAAAUAGCCAUCUAGGAUUUUCAUAGCUAGAGAGGAGAAGUCAAUGCCUGGCUUCAAAGCCUCAAAGGACAGGCUGACUGCCUUGUUAAGGGCUAAUGUAGAUCAUGACUUUAAGUUGAAGCCAAUGCUCAUGGACCAUUCCAGAAAUACUAGGGCCUUUAAGAAUUAUGCUAAAUCUAUUCUGCCUGUGCUCUAUAAAUGGGACAGCAAAGCCUAGGUGACAGCACAUCUGUCUACAGCAUGGUUUACUGAAUAUUUUAAACCCACUGUUGAGACCUGCUGCUCAGAAAAAUGGACUCUUCAAAAUAUUACUGCUCAUUAAUAGGGUACAUGGUCACCCAGGAGCUCUCUGAUGGAGAAGUAUGAUGAGAUUAAUGUUGUUUUCAUGCCUGCUAAUACAACAUCCAUUCUGCAGCCCCAUGGAUCAAGAAGUAACUUUGAGGGCUCCUGGGUGACUCAGUCGGUUAAGCGACUGCCUUCGGCUCAGGUCAUGAUCCUGGAGUCCCGGGAUCCAGUCCCGCAUCGGGCUCCCUGCUCGGCAGGGAGUCUGCUUCUCCCUCUGACCCUCCUCCCUCUCAUGUGCUCUCUCUCAUUCUCUCUCUCACAAAUAAAUAAAUAAAAUCUUAAAAAAAAAAAAAAAGAAGUAACUUUGAUUUUCAAGUCUUAUUAUUUAAGAGGUACAGGGGUGCCUGGAUGGCACAGUCAGUUAAGUGUCUGACUCUUGGUUUUGGCUCAGGUUGUGAUCACAGGGUUGUGGGAUCGAGCCCUGCGUCAGUCUCUGCACUCAGCGCAGAGUCUGCUUAAAAUUCUCUCUCUUCUCAGACACUUAAAAGCAUAGGAAACAAACUGAGGGUUGCUGGAGGGGAGAGGGAUGGGGGGGAUGUGGUAACUGGAUGAUGGACAUUAAGGAGGGCAUGUGAUGUAAUGAGCACUGGGUGUUAUAUAAGACAUACAUCACUGACCUCUCCCUCUGAAACCAGUAAUACAUUAUAUGUUAAUUGAAUUUAAAGAUUUUAUUUAUUUGAGAGAGAGAGAGAGCACAAGCAGAGGGAAGAGGCAGAGGGAGAAGCAGGCUCCCUGCUGAGCAGGGAGCCCAAUGCGGGACUCAGUCCCAGGACCCUGGGAUCAUGACCUGAGCUGACUGACAGAUGCUUAACCAACUGAGCCACCCAGGCUGAAUUUAAAUUCAAUUAAUUGAAUUUAAAUAAAAAUAAAUAAAAUUUUUCAAAAAUCUCUGUUCUCCCUUUGCCCCUCCCCCAUGCGCGCGCACGCUCUCUCUCUCUCUCUCUCUCUCUCAAAAUAAAUAAAUCUUUUAAAAAAAAAUACAUUCCAUUAAGUCUGUAGCUGCCAUAGAUAAUGAUUCCUUUGACAUAUCUGAGCAUAGUAAAUUGAAAACCUUCUGGAAAAGAUUCACCAUUCUUGAUGCCAUUAAGAACAUUCAUGAUUCAAAGGAAGAGGUAAAAAUACCAACUUUCAUGGGAGUUUUGAAGAAGUUGAUUUUAACCCUCAUGGAUGACUUUGAGGGGUUUGAGACUUCAGUGAAGGACGUAACUGCAAAUAUGAUGGAAAUAGCAAGAGAACUGGAAUUAGAAGUGGAGCCUGAAGAUGGGACUGAAUUGCUGCGGUCUCGUGAUAAAAUUUUAACUGAUGAGGAGCUGCUGCUUAUGGAUGAGCAAAGAAAGUGGUUUCUUGAGAUGAAAUCUUCUGGUGAAGAUGCUGGGAAGAUUGUUGAAAUGACAGCAAAGGAUUUAGGAUAUUACAUAAACUUAGUUGAUAAAGCAGUGCAGGACAUGAGAAGAUUGACUCCAGUUUUGAAAGAAAUUCUGUGGGUGAAAUGCUAUCAAACAGCUUCACAUGCUACUGAGAAAUUGUGAAAGGAAGAGUCCAUCAGUGCAGCAAAUUUCAUUGUUGUCUUAUUUUAAGAAAUUGCCACAGCACCCUAACCUUCAGCAGCCACCACCCUGAUCAGUCAGCAGCCAUCAACAUCAAGACAAGACCCUCUACCAAUGAAAAGAUUAUGACUCACUGAAACUUCAGAUGUUAAUUAGCAUUUUUCAGCUGUAAAAUAUUUUUAAAUUAAGGUUGUACAUUUUUUUUAGACAUAAUGCUAUCACACAAUAGAGUACAGUAGAGUGUAAACAUAACUUUUAUAUGCAUGGAGAAACCAAAAAUAUUCAUUUGACUUACUUUAUUGUGUCACUCACUGUGGUGGUCUGGAACCAAACCUGCAGUAUUUCCAGGGUGUGCCUGUGCUUUUUACCUUCUUACAUAGUAUGAGAUCAGGUGAACUCUUGUGGUCUACAAAUAGAGGAUGUAGGUCCUAGAAAUGCCACAGUGGGGCACCAAAAGCAAAUUAACCAUAUGAUCCUGGUGAAACUGAAGUUAUUUCCACCACUCUAAUGGGUCAAGGUUAGUCGUUCUUGGGUUGGUAAAUCAAACCAUCCAUGAAGAAGAGAGGCUGCCACCUUAGUUAAACAUUAAGGUAGGCUUUCUCUAGCCAUUUCAGAGCUGACUCUUUCAUGAUGCCACCAUCCACCCAGUUUACCCGUUGGUCAGUCUCAGAGUGAGUCACUUCCAUGUGACUAGUUUGGGAAGGCAUGUGGGAUGGGGGGUAGUGUUUGAAAUGGCUUACUCUUGUUUUUGGUGCCCAUUCUACUCAGUAUAAGGUCCUGCAAUUUUGUAGUUAACUGUGGUGUUAACUCUGACUCUCUAAAAAAUUAAAAGGUCUGAACGGGUUUUACCUGUUGCCGAAGGCUAUUCCCUGGUAGCAGAAAAAUGCUCCUCAAUGCUAUAAUGUACAGAAGCCUUGGAUUGGGAGUCAGGAGAUUUGCAUUCUAGAACUAGUGUCACCACACAUUUGCUCCUCCUAUGACCUUGGGAAAGGCAGUUUCUCCAGGCUCUAGUUUCCUCAACUGUAAAAUGAGGUUAGAUUAGAUGAUCUCUGAGAUCCAUUUCCACGUUAACAUUUGUCGGUUUCACAGUUCUGAGACUAAAGUAUAAAGAAGCACCUACUGAUACCUCUCGGUUGGGUAGAGUUCAACCUCUUUUGAACCUUUAAAUAUCUUCCUCCCUGGCUUCAUCAUCAGAAGGGAGAAUUUCAGAGGCUUUUUUUUUUCUUAACCUUAGGAUUCCAUAAAGGAUCUCAAUGUGGUGAAAUUCUUAACAUUGUUUUCAAAGGGAGCAUAUUUCUUUUAAAAGUACACAAGCUGUAGAACACUCCUAAGAGAAGGUCUGCCUUAAUGAAAUUGGGUAGAGAGUGGAGUAUCCCAAUUUCAAAAAGACUGCGAGUAACAGAAUCAUGGAGAGAAAUUAGUGAAAGGAUCAAGAUUCUGUGAGCCGCUCUUUGCCCCCUACACUUAUUUAUGUAACCACAUUCUUUGAAUCAUUCUAGAGUUAGCCUCUUAAAAAUGCAGAUUUUCCUGUCUUUAACGAAGAAUAAAGAAAACUUUAUGACUAACAGUUGUAGAAAAAUCAGAGCUAGGAAGGAAUGCACUUAUAUGUAGAAUAUUUCUUGGAUCAGAAGUGAGUGUGUUUGGGGGGUGGGGCGAUGGGUUAGCCUGGUGAUGGGUAUUAAGGAGGGCAUGUAUUGCAUGGAGCACUGGGUGUUAUACAAAAACAAUGAAUCAUGGAACACUACAUCAAAAACUAAUGAUGUAAUGGAUGGUGACUAACAUAACAAAAUUAAUUUAAAAAAAAAGUGAGUGUGUUUGAGUGUGGAGAUGUGCCUAUUCAGAGGAGCGGUGACACUCAGCGACAGCUUAUUAUGGAGUAAUAGGAUACCUUUCCGUGGAAGUAGCCAUUCUUGAUUGCAGAUAUUAUUUCACUGCUGGUGGCUGAAAACACUACUCAGGGAUAGUGACAGCUGCUUCUGUGCUUACUUUAGUUACAUCAUGGAUGUCAGGAUGCAAACCAUUUGCCAUGGCUGAACUUUCUCCUAUUUAAAACAACAACAAAACCUCGGUUUUGUGAGCUGUGUGGAGUGAGAAAUAGUUCACUUGGAGUGUCUUGUGUGUAUUAAGGGUAUGUCACAUGACAAUGAAGGAGGUAUAGUAAAGGGUGCAUUGUCAUUUGCUCUUGCAGGCAGUAGUAACAUCUCAGGAACACACUACCAGGUUUAGAGUUCUAGAAGCUGUGGGAUUUAUAAAAGAAAAAGUAAAUUUCCCUGUUCUGGAGGAGCUUGAUCUCCAGUUGCGAAUAUAAAAUGUACACAUCCAGAAUGGCUCAUGAUCACUUAAAAAACAUGAUAGAUGCUGUUGUGAUUAACAAAAUGUAAAUCCAUAUAAAGCAUUACCUUGGUAUUAGAUCUUAUAUGGGAUUGCAUUCGAAUGCUUAAGAUGAAAACCAGGGUAAAGAAAAUUAGCCAAGAAAAUCUGAGGACAGCAUAUUGAAUACCCAUGUGCCAUCCCUCCAUAAGCCCAACUCAGCUGUUUUCUUUGGCAUUGAAUAAAAUUGCUCUUUUUUCAGUUGAUGAAGUGCUAGCUUGUAUUUAGGAGUCACAAUGAAUGAAAAAUAAUAUAGCUUUAAAAGACCAUGUCUGCACACAUGACACAGCAUGGAUGAACUUGAGGACAUUAUGCUAAAUGAAAUAAGCCAGACACAAAAGGACAAAUAUCUUAUGAUUCCUCUUCUAGGAGAUACCUAGACUAAUCAAAUUCAUAAAUACAGAGAGAGUAAAAUGGUGGUUACCAGAGUCUGGGGGAAUAGGAAGCGGAGAAUUAGUGUUCUUUGGGUAUGGAGUUUCAGUUUUGGGGGUGAGGUUCUGGAGAUGGGGUAGUGUUGAUGGUUGCACAGCAAUGUGAAUGUACUUACUGACACUUAGCUGUAUACUUAAAAAUGGUCAAAAUGGUAAAUUUUAUGUUAUAUAAAUUUUACCAAAAUAAAAAAAAAAAAUGACCGUAUUCCCAGAUUGUAAAAGUAAUACCAAAAGAUGAACUCAAAAAAACAA